GUCUGUAAAUGCUUUAAGGUUUCAUUAUUUUUCCAAUGUCUGUUACGCUUAUAUUGAAUCCUAAAGAUUAAUCAUAUAACAACCUUGAAUUACUAGUUAUAACAUUGUAAAAGCCACCAAAUAAUUUCACUCAAGGUUGGAUGAAACCAUGACCCUCGACAAAUAUGGAACACCCUGACUUUUUCUGACACCAAAAAUUUAAAUAGUUUAAAACAUUCAAAGAUACAACUAUGAUAAAUUCUCUUUCGAGAGAAUAUUCAAUUCCCAUUGGAAUGUUGUAUGUUAUAUAAAAAGAGGAUAUGGGCCGAGUUUGGGGAAACAACAAAUCAGUGAACACUCCUGACAUUGUAAAUUUCUGAACUUGUCUCAUUUCUAACUUUAUAAGGGUAGUAUCAUUCAUCAUAUUUCUCCUCUCUUGCAUACGUUAGAUUCACAUAAUUUGCUAUACAUCUAAUUCAACAUACAGCAACUACUAGAACACGAAACAAACAAUAUGUAAAACUGAACACAGAAAUUUCCUUGAUGAAAGGCUGAUUCUGGAAUCACCCCAACGAGUCAGCAUGAGAAACAUUGGUUCUACAG
rnacentral:lncRNA from 1 species